GCUGUGCUUGUCUGUGAUAACUUCGUGCCGAUCGCACAUCCCCGUGACGGCGACAACGCAUUCGAAUGUCUGCCCUAUGAACUUUCGAUGCUAUUUUCCGCGCCUACCAUGGUGACCACGGGUAGCGGGGAAUCAGGGUUCGAAUCCAGAGAUGGAGACUGAGAAACUGCUACCACAUGCAAAGAAGGCAGCAGGCG